rnacentral:rRNA from 1 species
AGAGCGAACGCUGGCGGCAUGCUUAACACAUGCAAGUCGCACGGGCAGGGGAAACCCUGUCAGUGGCGGACGGGUGAGUAACGCGUAGGUAUCUAUCCUUGGGUGGGGGACAACGGCUGGAAACGGCUGCUAAUACCGCAUGAUGACCGAGGUCUAAAGGCGCAAGUCGCCUGGGGAGGAGCCUGCGUACGAUUAGCUUGUUGGUGGGGUAAAGGCCUACCAAGGCUACGAUCGUUAGCUGGUCUGAGAGGAUGAUCAGCCACAUUGGGACUGAGACACGGCCCAAACUCCUACGGGAGGCAGCAGUGGGGAAUAUUGGACAAUGGGCGCAAGCCUGAUCCAGCAAUGCCGCGUGUGAAGAAGGUCUUCGGAUUGUAAAGCACUUUCGACGGGGACGAUGAUGACGGUACCCGUAGAAGAAGCCCGGCUAACCUUCGCGCCAGCAGCCGC